rnacentral:rRNA from 1 species
UACGUAGGGGGCAAGCGUUGUCCGGAAUCAUUGGGCGUAAAGAGCGUGUAGGCGGCCCGAUAAGUCCGCUGUGAAAGUCCAGGGCUCAACCCUGGGAUGCCGGUGGAUACUGUCGGGCUCGAGUCCGGAAGAGGAGUGUGGAAUUCCGUGGUGUAGCAGUGAAAUGCGUAGAGAUGUGGAGGAACACCGAUGGCGAAGGCAGCCCCCUGGGUCAAGAUUGACGCUCAUGCACGAAAGGCGUGGGGAGCAAACAGG